UACGGAGGGAGCUAGCGUUGUUCGGAAUUACUGGGCGUAAAGCGCACGUAGGCGGCUUUUUAAGUCAGGGGUGAAAUCCCGGGGCUCAACCCCGGAACUGCCCUUGAAACUGGAGAGCUAGAAUCUUGGAGAGGCGAGUGGAAUUCCGAGUGUAGAGGUGAAAUUCGUAGAUAUUCGGAAGAACACCAGUGGCGAAGGCGACUCGCUGGACAAGUAUUGACGCUGAGGUGCGAAGGCGUGGGGAGCAAACAGG
rnacentral:rRNA from 1 species